UUAAUUGAAACCAAAAUAGAGGUAAAUCACUGUUAAUGAUUAAAUUAGAAUUUUUCUCAAUUAAA
rnacentral:tRNA from 1 species